CUACUAGAGGACAAGAGGGAGGCGCACAACCUAUGAAUAAAGGCAGCGUGGUUCUGGAUUUUCCUUAUUGGAGACUUGUACAAAAGAUCAUACCUGAGACCCAAGCUUGGUUGAAGAUGUACUUUUUGAAAUCCACGAAGACAUGUGUGGACUGCACUCCAGAGGAAGAUCAUUAGCCCACCAAGCCUUGACCCAAGGAUAUUGGUAGCCAUACAUGCAGAAAGAUAUCCAGGUGUAUGUCCGCAAAUACACCAAAUGCCAUCUCUUUUCUCCUCUGAUCCAUCAUCCAGCAAGGGACUUGACUCCUCUCACUAGUCCAUGGCCAUUUGGCAAGUGGGGAAUGGAUAUCGUGGGGGUCUUGCCCCAAGCUCCAAGUAACAAGAAGUUUUUGUCGGUAGUUACAGACUACUUCACGAAAUGGGCUGAGGCCGAACCAUUAUCCCAAAUAAAGGAGGCAGAUGUGAUCACAUUCGUCCGCAUAAAUAUUAUGUCUAGGUUUGGCAUCUCAAAGCUUUCGUAUCAAACAACGGGACUCAGUUUGUGGAAAAAAGUUAAAGACUUGUUGGAACAACUGAAGAUCAAAUUUUAUAAUUCAACGCCUAGCUACUCGCAGUGCAAUGGGCAAGCCGAGGCCACCAACAAGACGAUCAUGAACGGAUUCAAGAAGAGGCUUGAAAAAGCCAAAGGCAAAUGGAUUGAGGAGCUUCCAAAUAUUUUGUGGCCUACCGGACCAUACGGCGGAAAGCAACGAAUGAAAUGCCUUAUUCCUUGACUCUCGGAUUCAAAGUUGUAAUCCUGCUGGAGGUUGGUUUGCCCACAAUACGGACCGAAGCAUACGACGUCAGUCACAAUAAAAAAGUCUUGGCUCGAGACCUCAACCUCGCUGAUGAAAGAAGGGAGAAUGCACUUAUAUGAAUGGCUAACUAUCAAAAAUAAUUAGCCAAAACAUAUAACCAGAAGGUCCAACACAGACAAUUUUCAGUCGGAUACCUUGUUCUGAGAAAAGUUAUUGGAAACACUAAGGACCCGGCAGAUAGAAAGCUCGACCCAAAUUGGGAAGGACCCUACAAGACAAUCAACCUCGCUGGCAGGGUGCUUACCACCUCGAAGAUCAUGAAGAUAAACAAGUUCCGAGACUUUGGAAUUCUAACAACUUGAGAAAGUACUACCACUAAAAUAUAAUUUUUUUCUGACCAAGCUGAAAUCUAUAUCAAAUAUAUUUGUAAAAGCUGUGUCAUAUAAAGAUUUUAUUUUUUGGAGAAGUACAAGGCAAAGCUAGAGAAAAGCUACAACAAUUAGGAAAGAGUUAGCCGAGCUCCAAGCGAGUUCCGAGCUCUGUCCUGCGAGUUUGUUUGAAUAUACUUAGAAAAUUUUCUAAAGAAGGGUUAGCCGAGCUCUAUGCAAACUCCAAGCUCUAUCUCUUGAAAUUUUACAAAAGUAUACUUAGCCAAAAAAAAUUUAUAGGAAAAAGUUAGCCGAGCUCUAUGCAAGUUCCGAGCUCUGUCCUGCGAGUUUGCCUAAAUAUACUUGGCAAAAUUUUUAGGGAAGGGUUAGUCUAGCUAGGACACUGCUGGACGACGGGUUGAAGCUACCUACGCCGCCGUAGAACUGCCGCCGGUGUCUAUCUUCGAUUUCCUUCCUCUCAUUCGUCAAACAUACAACCCCACAUGUUAAAGGAAGGACUACGCUUAGACGGUGGCCACGACCUCCCUUAUUUAACAAAAUUCUAUUUAGGCCGUAUGAAUUUUGAGUAUUUAUAAUAAAACAGGGUAUAUUGGCCCUUGAAAAUUCAAAAAUUUUCCUCUGACCUUCUAAAAUUCGAUAACUUUAAACCCUCAAUAAAAUUUUAAAAAUUUGCUUUCACCUUCCAAAAUUCAAGAGAAUUGUCAUCUUUACCCCCAACAAAAUUCAAAGUGGAAGAUUACUCCUAAAGUAAGCUACCGCUUCUGCUCUCACAAGGGAAUGUGUUCCCUACUUGUUAGAUGAGGUAUUUGAUCCCACCUAGCAGGGAACCUAUCACUAUGUGAAAGGUGGAGUAAGAAUGACGCGUUGCUUCAGGAGCAGUAAAUAAUUUUUCAUGUAAACUCCAAAGAAUAUUUAAACAUAUAAAUACUGGCAGUAGUUUUUUUUUUUUUCAAGCUGUUAGAGAUGUCCGGGUCACUCAUAUCGAUUAAUUCCUUUCUGGGUCCACUCAAAGUUGGUCAUUCACGUCGGGACUAAGGUAUUCUAGGGGUGGAUAUUGGGUGGGUCGGCCGAGCCUACUCCCAAAAUAAUUUCUAUCGGGCCCAAAACCAUCUCCCAAGUCUGCCCACUUUAAAAAAUUACAUUCCUAAGCCCGUCCAAGUCCUCCCAUUUAACAUAAAAUUUGUUUAAUAUAUAAUUUUUUUUUCUUUAUAAAAAUAUUGAAUAACAUAAAAUUUUAUUACAUUUACAUAUAUAUAAUAUUAAAUAUAAAAAAUACUAUUUUAUACAUAUUUCGGGCCGGGCCGGGCUGGCUUGCAAGACAGUUUCUAAGCUUGCCCAUUAAACUAAUCAGACCUAAAAAAAUUCAAAAACCCUAUAAUUUAUGGGUGGGCUUGGGCGAACCUAUCGGACUCUCGGUCCCAUGGCCACCCCUAGGACAAUCACAAGGAAUAAAUUCGUUGCAAUAUACUCUUACACUUGGCAACCGUCGAACCCUUACCGAGUUGGUUGUCUUGCAAUAGUUUGAAGAACAGGGAAUUCAAUAGAGAUGGUCUGUGUUUUUAUUUUUUUAUCUUUUAAACUUUAAACAAAUGAGGAUGUAAUUGUCAAUUCAUACGCCGAUGGUAGGCUGUCCUUUUACCUAAUUGUCAAUUUGGAGUAGCACUGUAUCACAUAAUUUUAUUUUUUUGGGGGGGGAGGGGCAUACCUCACGUAGCGCGCAAGUCAAAUCAUCUGCGAACUCGCAUUGGGCACAGUAAUAAAAUGAUAAAGUUGGGGAUAUGAAUUCAUCGCAAAGAUCGCAGUCUUGCCAGCAGGUAGAUUUAUAGCUUUCAGCAAAAUAGUUGGUUAAGGUGAGGCAAUGCCUGUGAAAUUUUGAUUGAAAGGUAGGCGGCAUCACGGACAUGGUAAACGGCAGCACACAAUGGAUGUCAAGACUGAAAUCGCACUCUUUGCAGCGGAGGAUCGACUGCGAACUUAAUCCCUGACUACAGAAGAGACAAUCGUCCUCUUGGCAAUCAGAAGUUUGCUCUCUGUGGAAAGUAAGAAUAUGUCCCUGAGUUGACCCAUCAGAUAUGCUGCUGCUGGUGUUGGCGGCGGCGGCGGUGUUGGUGGUGGCUCCCUUAACGAUGCACCGAAUGCAUUGAUAGUAGUCGCACCUUUCGCACUGGUAGUUUAUCCCUUUGUGAUCUUCUGAACAUAUGGUGCAAUUGAACGUGCUUGAGCUGUCUGCGAACUCGUAGUUGAGCCAUAGGUAAUGAGAUGGGUGCUUGGAGUGUCGGAUCAUCGGGGGCAGUUCGAGACAAGACUUGUGGAAGAGAAUGGCAUCUUUACAACUUUCUUCGUUGCAAGCGUAGGUUGCAGCCCGGAAUAUCGGUAGGUUGCACCCUGAACAUUUCCUUUUGCUGAUCUCAGGAACGGGGAUCAAUGGAGGAUUCUGGCUGGGAUCUUGAGUAGCGGGAACCAACGGAGGAUUCCGGCGGGGAUCUUGAGGAUCGGGGACGAAGGGAGGAUUCCGCUUGGGAUCUUGAGUAGCAGGGACCAACGGAGGAUUCAAGCUGGGAUCUUGAACGAGAGUGAGAGGAUGUGAUUUGUGACACUGGUGAUUGAUCUUUCCUGGCAAUUCUGCACAUGCUUUAUGAAAGAAAAUUCCGCAUGCAUCAGUUUUAGAGCAACCAUAUAUUGCGUGCUCGAUCGGAUUAGAGCACCCAUGGCAGCAAAGCUCAUCCUUUUUCUCCGGGGGGUUGAGGGCCGUGCUAGAAUCCUUAUCGGCAAAUUUCUCAUGGUAGAAGGUCAUGGGAUGUUCGUGGGCGAAGUAAUAGAGAUGACUUUUUGCAGGAUGCCACUCAACGAAAGUUUGAAUUUCAUUAAACAGGUUUUCAUCACUGAUCAAUUUUUGAGGCUCCAUUUGUGAUCGGUCUCUUCACCUUUAGUGAGGAUCCAUGUAUAAUUCUCUCUUAGUGAGGUCCAAGUAUCAUGUGUAUCAGUAUAUAUAUAUAUAUAUAUAUAUAUAUAUAUAUAUAUAUAUAUAUAUAUAUAUAUAUAUAUAUAUAUAUAUAUGUGGUGGGUGUCACGCAUAUAUAUAUAUAUGUGGUGGGUGUCACGCACUAUGUGCGUGUACUACAUUAUGCCCAAUCACUCUCUUUACCACUAACUUUAACAGUGGGAUCAUAACUAUAAAAAUAGAAAAUCGAACGGAUAAAGGCAUUGAUUCAAUAGUUUAGUGAUUUAACCGUAAUUCAACUGAUAAUACACUAAAUAAAUAAUAAAAAUUUAUUUAAAUAAAAAUAAAUGUUAAAAAAUUAUUAAUGGGUUAAAUGAUACUCACUUUUAUACAAUGACUCCAACCAAGUAUAAAAAUAAAUUCUUAUAAGAAAAAAUAUUUUUUAAAAAAGUAUUUUUGAAAACAUUCAAAAUGACUUUUUUCUCCCAAAUUUAAUAUCAUUUGUUCUACUGCCCAUUGGUAUUUUUUCCCAUCUCUUUCUUCCUUUUUCUUUGUUCUCUUUUUGGUUUUAGUUUAAAGUUUUUACUUAUUGAUUUAGUUUUUUUAAUCAAAUACCACAAAAGAUUUGUUUUCAAUAAAGAAAUAAUUUGAAAUCAUGUGCAAUUGGGGUUAUUUUGACAUUUUUUUAAAACCGUCUAGUUCACUAUAUACCAAAACCUUUUAAUUCAUUAUAUAUGGGCCGAUUCAUCCAAAUUUAAAAUACUGACUGGUUCAACCCGGUUCAAUUUGAUUCAAUUGCAUUUUCAAUAAAUUAGUUGGAAUGGAAAGGUUCAAAGUCUGAUUUUCAGUUCAAUCGCUUGUAUAAGUCUGAUUU
rnacentral:lncRNA from 1 species